rnacentral:rRNA from 1 species
CAGCAGCCGCGGUAACACGGAGGAUCCAAGCGUUAUCCGGAAUCAUUGGGUUUAAAGGGUCCGUAGGCGGUCUUGUAAGUCAGUGGUGAAAGCCCAUCGCUCAACGGUGGAACGGCCAUUGAUACUGCAGGACUUGAAUUAUUGGGAAGUAACUAGAAUAUGUAGUGUAGCGGUGAAAUGCUUAGAGAUUACAUGGAAUACCAAUUGCGAAGGCAGGUUACUACCAAUUGAUUGACGCUGAUGGACGAAAGCGUGGGUAGCGAACAGGAUUAGAUACCCCCGUAGUCCCUGUCUCUUAUAA